AUUGAACGCUGGCGGUAGGCCUAACACAUGCAAGUCGAACGGCAGCACAGUAAGAGCUUGCUCUUACGGGUGGCGAGUGGCGGACGGGUGAGGAAUACAUCGGAAUCUACUUUUUCGUGGGGGAUAACGUAGGGAAACUUACGCUAAUACCGCAUACGACCUACGGGUGAAAGCAGGGGAUCUUCGGACCUUGCGCGAUUGAAUGAGCCGAUGUCGGAUUAGCUAGUUGGCGGGGUAAAGGCCCACCAAGGCGACGAUCCGUAGCUGGUCUGAGAGGAUGAUCAGCCACACUGGAACUGAGACACGGUCCAGACUCCUACGGGAGGCAGCAGUGGGGAAUAUUGGACAAUGGGCGCAAGCCUGAUCCAGCCAUACCGCGUGGGUGAAGAAGGCCUUCGGGUUGUAAAGCCCUUUUGUUGGGAAAGAAAAGCAGCAGGUUAAUACCCCGCUGUUCUGACGGUACCCACAGAAUAAGCACCGGCUAACUUCGUG
rnacentral:rRNA from 1 species